CCUGCCGGCGACCGGCGCACGGGUGAGUAACACGUAUGCGACCUGCCCCCCGCAGGGGGAUAACCGGGAGAAAUCCCGACUAUACCGCGUAACGCCGCGGACCUGCAUGGGUCUGCGGCCAAAGGAAGCGAUUCCGGCGGGGGAUGGGCAUGCGGCGCAUUAGCUAGUCGGCGGGGUAACGGCCCACCGAGGCGACGAUGCGUAGGGGUUCUGAGAGGAAGGUCCCCCACACUGGUACUGAGACACGGACCAGACUCCUACGGAAGGCAGCAG
rnacentral:rRNA from 1 species